GAUGAAGAACGCAGUGAAAUGCGAUACGUAAUGUGAAUUGCAGAAUUCAGUGAAUCAUCGAGUCUUUGAACGCACAUUGCGCCCCCUGGUAUUCCGGGGGCAUGCCUGUCCGAGCGUCAUUGCUGCCCUCAAGCACGGCUUGUGUGUUGGGCCCCCGCCCCCCGGUUCCCGGGGGGCGGGCCCGAAAGGCAGCGGCGGCACCGCGUCCGGUCCUCGAGCGUAUGGGGCUUCGUCACCCGCUCCGUAGGCCCGGCCGACGCCCGCCGGCGACCCCCCCUCAAUCUUUCCAGGUUGACCUCGGAUCAGGUAGGGAUACCCGCUGAACUUAAGCAUAUCAAUAAGCGGAGGA
rnacentral:misc_RNA from 1 species